rnacentral:rRNA from 1 species
UCGGGAAACCGGAGCUAAUACCGGAUGAUAUUUUGAACCGCAUGGUUCAAAAGUGAAAGACGGUCUUGCUGUCACUUAUAGAUGGAUCCGCGCUGCAUUAGCUAGUUGGUAAGGUAACGGCUUACCAAGGCAACGAUGCAUAGCCGACCUGAGAGGGUGAUCGGCCACACUGGAACUGAGACACGGUCCAG